CAGCCCCUCGAGUGGUGGGGAUGAUUAUUGGGCCUAAAGCGUCCGUAGCCUGCCGUGUAAGUUUCCCGUUAAAUCCAGCGUCUUAAGCGUUGGACCGCGGGAAAUACUGUACGGCUAGAGAGUGGGAGAGGUCAGCGGUAUUCUGGGGGUAGGGGCGAAAUCCUUUGAUCCCCGGAGGACCACCAGUGGCGAAGGCUGCUGUCUAGAACACGUCUGACGGUCAGGGACGAAAGCUGGGGUAGCGAACCGGAUUAGAUACCCGAGUAGUCC
rnacentral:rRNA from 1 species